CCCACUGCUAUCGAGGUGGGACUAAGCCAUGCUAGUUGAGCGCACAGAACUAUGUCUGUGAGCGGCACACUGCUCAGUAACACGUAGCUAACCUACCCUUAGGACGUGGACAACCCCGAGAAAUUGGGGCUAAUCCGCGAUAGAUGUAAUGUCCUGGAAUGGUAUUACGUCCAAAGGUAUCCCAUACAUGUUUGGUAUACGCCUAAGGAUGGGGCUGCGGCCGAUCAGGCUGUUGGUGAGGUAAUGGCUCACCAAACCUUUGACCGGUACGGGCCAUGAGAGUGGUAGCCCGGAGAUGGACACUGAGACAAGGGUCCAGGCCCUACGGGGCGCAGCAGGCGCGAAACCUCCUCAAUGCACUUACGUGCGAAGGGGCUACCUCGAGUGCCACCUGAUGAAGGUGGCUUUUCCUAGGUCUAAAAAGCCUUGGGAAUAAGAGGGGGGCAAGACUGGUGUCAGCCGCCGCGGUAACACCAGCCCCUCGAGUGGUGGGGAUGAUUAUUGGGCCUAAAGCGUCCGUAGCCUGCCGUAUAAGUUUCCCGUUAAAUCCAGCGUCUCAAGCGUUGGACUGCGGGAAAUACUGUACGGCUAGAGAGUGGGAGAGGUCAGCGGUAUUCUGGGGGUAGGGGCGAAAUCCUUUGAUCCCCGGAGGACCACCAGUGGCGAAGGCUGCUGACUAGAACACGUCUGACGGUCAGGGACGAAAGCUGGGGUAGCGAACCGGAUUAGAUACCCGGGUAGUCCCAGCCGUAAACGAUGCAUGCUAGGUGUUGGGUUGGCCACGAGCCACCCCAGUGCCGCAGGGAAGCCGUUAAGCAUGCCGCCUGGGAAGUACGAUCGCAAGGUUGAAACUUAAAGGAAUUGGCGGGGGAGCACCACCAGGCGUGAAGCCUGCGGUUUAAUUGGAUCAACGCCGGA
rnacentral:rRNA from 1 species